rnacentral:rRNA from 1 species
UACGUAGGUGACAAGCGUUGUCCGGAUUUACUGGGCGUAAAGAGCGCGCAGGCGGUCGUUCAAGUCGAGUGUGAAAGCCCCCGGCUCAACUGGGGAGGGUCAUUCGAUACUGAUCGACUCGAAGGCAGGAGAGGGUAGUGGAAUUCCCGGUGUAGUGGUGAAAUGCGUAGAUAUCUGGAGGAACACCGAUGGCGAAGGCAAUCCCCUGGGCCUGCACUGACGCUCAUGCACGAAAGCGUGGGGAGCAAACAGG